AUACGGAGGGUGCAAGCGUUAUCCGGAAUCAUUGGGGUUAAAGGGUCCGUAGGCGGGCAAUUAAGUCAGAGGUGAAAUCCCACAGCUCAACUGUGGAACUGCCUUUGAUACUGGUUGUCUUGAGUUAUAGUGAAGUAGAUAGAAUGUGUAGUGUAGCGGUGAAAUGAAUAGAUAUUACACAGAAUACCGAUUGCGAAGGCAGUCUACUAACUGUUGACUGACGCUAAUGGACGAAAGCGUGGGGAGCGAACAGGAUUAGAAACCCUAGUAGUCC
rnacentral:rRNA from 1 species